AGAAAAAAUUUGAUGACUCAAGAAUCCUCCGUCCCCACAGACGGCGCCAAAAUGUGGAUGUCGAAUUCACACUCAAG
rnacentral:sRNA from 1 species